rnacentral:rRNA from 1 species
UGGGGAAUUUUGCACAAUGGGGGGAACCUUGAUGCAGCGACGCCGCGUGAGGGAUGGAGGCCUUCGGGUUGUGAACCUCUUUCGCUCGUGUGCAAGCCGCUAUUUGGGUAGUGGUGAGUGUAGCGGGUAAAGAAGCGCCGGCUAACUACGUGCCAGCAGCCGCGGUAAUACGUAGGGCGCGAGCGUUGUCCGGAUUUAUUGGGCGUAAAGGGCUUGUAGGCGGUUUGUCGCGCCUGUCGUGUAAUCCUCUGGCUUAACUGGGGGUGUGCGGUGGGUACGGGCAAGCUUGAGUGCGGUAGGGGAGAUUGGAAUUCCUGGUGUAGCGGUGGAAUGCGCAGAUAUCAGGAGGAACACCGGUGGCGAAGGCGGGUCUCUGGGCCGUUACUGACGCUGAGGAGCAAAAGCGUGGGGAGCGAACAGG